rnacentral:snoRNA from 1 species
AGCCCAUGGUGAGGGCACCUUCUCAAGAGGUCCUUGUAUAUUUCCCAUGCAUCAUAGAGUGUUUCUAGAUCCACUGCACAAAAUAAGAGAUAUCAUUCCUUAAUUU